rnacentral:rRNA from 1 species
GGAGCUUGCUCCUCCGGAUUAGUGGCGAACGGGUGAGUAAUACGUGAGCAAUGUGCCCUUGACUCUGGGAUAAGCGCUGGAAACGGCGUCUAAUACCGGAUACGACCUUCGGAGGCAUCUCCUGAUGGUGGAAAGAACUUCGGUCAAGGAUCAGCUCACGGCCUAUCAGCUAGUUGGUGAGGUAAUGGCUCACCAAGGCGACGACGGGUAGCCGGCCUGAGAGGGUGACCGGCCACACUGGGACUGAGACACGGCCCAGACUCCUACGGGAGGCAGCAGUGGGGAAUAUUGCACAAUGGGCGCAAGCCUGAUGCAGCAACGCCGCGUGAGGGACGAAGGCCUUCGGGUUGUAAACCUCUUUUAGCAGGGAAGAAGCGAAAGUGACGGUACCUGCAGAAAAAGCACCGGCUAACUACGUGCCAGCAGCCGCGGUAAUACGUAGGGUGCAAGCGUUGUCCGGAAUUAUUGGGCGUAAAGAGCUCGUAGGCGGUUUGUCGCGUCUGCUGUGAAAACCCGAGGCUCAACCUCGGGCUUGCAGUGGGUACGGGCAGACUAGAGUGCGGUAGGGGAGAUUGGAAUUCCUGGUGUAGCGGUGGAAUGCGCAGAUAUCAGGAGGAACACCGAUGGCGAAGGCAGAUCUCUGGGCCGUAACUGACGCUGAGGAGCGAAAGCAUGGGGAGCAAACAGGCUUAGAUACCCUGGUAGUCCAUGCCGUAAACGUUGGGAACUAGAUGUGGGGA